rnacentral:lncRNA from 13 species
AUGACAAAUGACGUGGGAUGGGGAAAUAAACGUGUAGAAAGGCCUGCUGACACGUGGCUUCAAAUCCUCUGGCAGAACACAGACUUCGCCCAUCUCUGCUGCAUUCCCUGGGUCGCCCUCGUCCCCUGUUGCUCCCCCAGUGCUGCACUUCCCUUUGUGGACAGGAGAGUGCAUUCCCCAGCAUGGAAAGCUGUGAGGAAAGGAGGUUGCAUGGAAAGAACUGUAAGGUGCUGCAUGAGGACAGAAGGGAACCAUGCCCCUGUGGCACUCGGGGAGGGACAGGUUUUGUCGCUCAUCUGA